CAGAGUAAAUGGGGAACUUGUUAUUGUAAUAUCGUUGUUCGCUGAUACUUAACUUGUUAUUUGUUCCACAAUAAAAUAAUAA